GAUGAAGAACGCAGCGAAAUGCGAUAAGUAAUGUGAAUUGCAGAAUUCAGUGAAUCAUCGAAUCUUUGAACGCACAUUGCGCCCCCUGGUAUUCCGGGGGGCAUGCCUGUUCGAGCGUCAUUUCAACCCUCAAGCUCUGCUUGGUAUUGGGCGUCGCCGGGGAGUCUCCCCGGCGUGCCUCAAAGCCAUCGGCGGUGGUGCCUUUCUCUAAGCGUGGUAGAAUUUUUAUUCGCUUCUGAGUUGGGCUCCGCCUGCCGGACAAACCGGGCCCUCGCGGCCCACCUUCUCAGGUUGACCUCGGAUCAGGUAGGGAUACCCGCUGAACUUAAGCAUAUCAAUAAGCGGAGGA
rnacentral:misc_RNA from 1 species